UACGUAGGGUGCGAGCGUUAAUCGGAAUUACUGGGCGUAAAGCGUGCGCAGGCGGUUUUGUAAGCCAGAUGUGAAAUCCCCCGGGCUUAACCUGGGAAUGGCAUUUGGGACUGCAAGGCUUGAGUGCGGCAGAGGGGGAUGGAAUUCCGCGUGUAGCAGUGAAAUGCGUAGAUAUGCGGAGGAACACCGAUGGCGAAGGCAAUCCCCUGGGCCUGCACUGACGCUCAUGCACGAAAAGCGUGGGGGAGCAAACAGG
rnacentral:rRNA from 1 species